rnacentral:rRNA from 1 species
CAGUAGCCGCGGUAAUACAGAGGGUGCAAGCGUUAUCCGGAUUUAUUGGGUUUAAAGGGUCCGUAGGCGGAUCUGUAAGUCAGUGGUGAAAUCUCACAGCUUAACUGUGAAACUGCCAUUGAUACUGCAGGUCUUGAGUAAAUUUGAAGUGGCUGGAAUAAGUAGUGUAGCGGUGAAAUGCAUAGAUAUUACUUAGAACACCAAUUGCGAAGGCAGGUCACUAAGAUUUAACUGACGCUGAUGGACGAAAGCGUGGGGAGCGAACAGGAUUAGAUACCCCAGUAGUCCCUGUCUCUUAUAC